GCCGAGAUAGCUCAGUUGGUAGAGCGAAGGACUGAAAAUCCUUAGGUCCGCAGUUCGAUUCUGCGUCUCGGCA
rnacentral:tRNA from 1 species